UAUUUGUCCAUCUCACUUAUUUAUUCCAGUGUCACAGGGAACAGUGCUGAUCUUGGCGGUGACUAGCCUGUGCAUUGGCCUGACUGGUGUGUCAGCAUUCUGUCUCAUCUGGACAUGUCGUAUGUGAUAAUCAUGAUAUUUCAUUCAUAGAAUAGCACCAGGAAAAAUUGGCUUUAUGUUUUAUAGGAAACUGGUUUUGUCAGCACAUUAGCAAGCUUUUAUCAGUGUCAGAUGUGCUGGUGUUAGUGUUUACAAGGUUUUUGUAUGUCUCAGGAGUUUUAGAGUAAGAUCCUAUAUGUUUUCACACCCACCAUAUGUGUAGUCUAUGUACUGGGAGGAACAUGUUAAUUUACAGACUAUUUUAUUUGUGCUUCAGAGAAUCCCCCGGACAUUAUGCCUGCACAUAGUACAAUUAGAGUAAGUACGUUUACUGUCAUUGAUACUCUGGAUCAAUACAAGUAACACAGUGAACUUACAAACUGUUUUUUCAUCCUUCAGAUGGUUGACACUGUUGUAACUUACACCAUGAUCACCUCAACACCCCUGACUGUAGCUCCAGGCAAACCUGUAUCAUACAGUUACAUACAUCUUGGUGCAGGACCACAGGAGCCCUGUUGUCACACAGCAGGACAUGACCUACAACCUUAUGCAGAUGCACUGAUACAGCUGCACAUACUGUGUAACUGGAUAUUAUAUAAAUACAUACUGUUAACAAAUGAUUAUUUUAAAAUGUAUGAGGUUUCAGCAUUGGUUAAGACACAGCAUUUAUUAUGAUUUAAAAAGCUUGUCUUGUGUUGUGUUUAUAUAUUGUUUGUUUGUAGUAUGUGUAGUGUAUAUAGUAUAGUAUAUAGUGUUUUGGAUGCCUGCAUAUAGAGAAAAUAACUACAAUGACUAUGGUCUAUUGAGGGUUUAAUGGACACCUUAUCCAGUGAAAUUUCUGUUGUAUUUUAGCUAGAAUGUAAAGAUUUCAGGAGGCAAGUUGAAUACCGGUUUGCAGUAUAUAUAGGCAGAUUUACUAACGGUAAAUACAUUGUUAAAUAAGCCACGCCCACAUAUGCAUGUCCCAAAAUUGCCCAGAAUUACUGUCUCUCUGAGUACAUCUGCCACUUAGUUGAAUAUUUUCAUCAGAUGUUAAAUCAGUAGGCUAGUUAUUAUUGUUAGAGUUUUAGAUAAGAAAUUAAAACUUUUAAAUGUAUUUUUUAUUCAGAAAUCAAGAUAUUGUUGCUUAGUUUUCUGUAUGUGUUGUCUGCAUAUUCAAAAAAUGGUCAAUAAAAUUCGAAUAAAAUGGUUUUUGAGUGGUACU
rnacentral:lncRNA from 1 species